rnacentral:rRNA from 1 species
UACGUAGGGGGCUAGCGUUGUCCGGAAUCAUUGGGCGUAAAGCGCGUGUAGGCGGCCCGGUAAGUCCGCUGUGAAAGUCCAGGGCUCAACCCUGGGAUGCCGGUGGAUACUGUCGGGCUCGAGUCCGGAAGAGGCGAGUGGAAUUCCUGGUGUAGCGGUGAAAUGCGCAGAUAUCAGGAGGAACACCAAUGGCGAAGGCAGCUCGCUGGGACGUUACUGACGCUGAGACGCGAAAGCGUGGGGAGCAAACAGG